rnacentral:lncRNA from 1 species
UACAAUAUACAACAGUUUGAACAUUUGGAAUAAGAAAUCCAGCUUGGGGAGACAUGUAAGUUCAGCUAGUUCCUAACACAGGUAGCAAAUUCCCUCCACCCUCCCCCAGAUUUCCCAGCCAGGAAGGCAUAUGGGCAGGAAUGCUUUACAAAUGUCACACCCACCCUGUAAAGACACUGGGUGCCCUGUCCCUGCAGUGGGACAUCCCCUAGGAAAGGGCAUCCUCCCCUCCAUGGGAUGGCUGGCAGCCUCCUACAUGGCAAGGCAGAGUCUUCAGGGAGGUGAGGCUGGCUGGCCCUUGUGCGAGGGACACGGGGUGCUCUGAAAAGGCCCUGCAUGCAGAUCCUGCAGGGUUUGGAGCUCCCUUGGCAGGGAGAGACAACCUGUCCCCCCCUUGGCAGCACUGCCAGCAGCCUGGUGCCCUACUGCAGCCACAAGGCUGUUGGAAAGGGGAUGGCCCUGCAGGGCCCAGCCCAAGAGACAGAAAACAAGAAUGAUGAAAGAUCCCUGGCUCUUGGGUCUGAGGGGACAUCUCAGGGAUCACUCACUGGCCUGGGAGCUGGCAGCAUUUUUAGGAAGCCUCUUUGGGUUGGUCCACAGUACUCAAGCAGCCUGGAGUGGUCCUGCUCAAGUGACAUGGGGUGGUCCUGCUUGGGCAACAUGGGAAGGUUCUGCUCCAGCUACAUUGGAUGAUCCUGCCCAAGCAGCCUGGAGAGGUCCUGCUGGAGCAGUUUGGGAUGCUGCUGAUCAAGCAGGGUGGGAUGGUCCUGCUGGAACAGCAUGGGAUGGUCCUGCUGGGGUGGUGCUGCUCAGGCAGCUUGGGAUGGCCCUGCUUGAGCACAGUGGGAUGGUCCUUGUGGAGCAUGGGAUGGUCCUGCUGGAGCAGUGUAUGCUGGGUCUGCUUGAGCACCAUGGAGCAGCUGCAAGUGGCAGGGAUAAUUCUUCAUGUUCUACAGCAUCCCAAGCAAUGAAUUCAAAGCCAUUCCUGGCCUUUCUUGCCCCUCUUGGAAAUCCUUCAUUGCUGGAAGUGAUCCUAAGGGAAUCUGGUCAAGCUCCAUGUUCCACAUCAGUUAUUGCUAAUGUUAGAUCACGACACUGGUGACUUUGUCUGGCUGAGUUACUGAAACCUUCCAAGGGCAGAGGUGAUCCCCUUUUCCCCUAUGACCAGUUCCAGCUGCACUAGCCCAGAAGUCUUUUCUGAUGUUUUCUUAUUGUGUGCAUUGGGGUGGCUGAGUUAGUAGUGGCUUUCCUGGGUCAGUAAGGGAUGGGAUAUAAGGCAGAAGAAGUGGGAAGAGAAGCAGAAAAUUGUAGCUGGAGUCAGAUGUGCAGGGAGGAAUGGGAGAGGUCAGGCUGGGAGAAGAUUGGAAGUCAGGACAGAGGUAGGAGAUGAAGGAGAAUGUAAGGCCAGUUAGAGAGGGAGCUGUGAGGUGAGGAAGGACGGCUGGAGGUCAAGGAGGCGUGGAGAGGGAAAUCUGUGAGGUUGGUGGGACACUCAGAAGAUAAAAAGGGAUAGGAAGGCGGGGAAAAGUGGAGGAGCAUAAAGAGAAACAGGAACACUGUGGGGGACAAAUGACAGAGGACAGUGACAAUGACAGAGAUAGCCGGGUGUCGAGUGUGAGAGGGAGAGGGAAGAGGUGAAACUGCAGGAAAAAGUACAGGGAACAAUGGGAAGUGGAGGGUCACAGGAGGAACUGAGGUGGAGGAUGAAGGAUGAGAUGGAGGGUGAAGGAGAUGAAAGAUGGUGGAAAGGACAAUGAA